GAUGAACGCUAGCGGCAGGCCUAAUACAUGCAAGUCGAACGGUGUCUUCGGACAUAGUGGCGCACGGGUGCGUAACACGUAUGCAACCUACCUUACAUUGGGGGAUAGCCUUUCGAAAGGGAGAUUAAUACCGCAUAAGACAGUAGCUGGGCAUCCAGCAGCCGUUAAAGAUUUAUCGAUGUAAGCUGGGCAUGCGUCCAAUUAGCUAGUUGGUGAGGUAACGGCUCACCAAGGCAAUGAUUGGUAGGGGAACUGAGAGGUCAAUCCCCCACACUGGAACUGAGAUACGGGCCAGACUCCUACGGGAGGCAGCAGUAGGGAAUAUUGGGCAAUGGACGCAAGUCUGACCCAGCCAUGCCGCGUGCAGGAUGAAGGCGUUAUGCGUUGUAAACUGCUUUUAUACAGGAAGAAACGACUCUUGCGAGAGGCAUUGACGGUACUGUAUGAAUAAGCACCGGCUAACUUCGUGCCAGCCGCCGCGGUAAUAC
rnacentral:rRNA from 1 species